rnacentral:hammerhead_ribozyme from 1 species
AUCCAGCUAACGAGUCCCAAAUAGGACGACACGCGCGAUCUGGAU